rnacentral:rRNA from 1 species
GUGGUGGGGUGACUGCGUACCUUUUGUAUAAUGGGUCAGCGACUUAUAUUCUGUAGCAAGGUUAACCGAAUAGGGGAGCCGGAGGGAAACCGAGUCUUAACCGGGCGUUAAGUUGCAGGGUAUAGACCCGAAACCCGGUGAUCUAGCCAUGGGCAGGUUGAAGGUUGGGUAACACUAACUGGAGGACCGAACCGACUAAUGUUGAAAAAUUAGCGGAUGACCUGUGGCUGGGGGUGAAAGGCCAAUCAAACCGGGAGAUAGCUGGUUCUCCCCGAAAGCUAUUUAGGUAGCGCCUCGUGAAUUCAUCUCCGGGGGUAGAGCACUGUUUCGGCUAGGGGGCCAUCCCGGCUUACCAACCCGAUGCAAACUGCGAAUACCGGAGAAUGUUAUCACGGGAGACACACGGCGGGUGCUAACGUCCGUCGUGAAGAGGGAAACAACCCAGACCGCCAGCUAAGGUCCCAAAGUCAUGGUUAAGUGGGAAACGAUGUGGGAAGGCCCAGACAGCCAGGAUGUUGGCUUAGAAGCAGCCAUCAUUUAAAGAAAGCGUAAUAGCUCACUGGUCGAGUCGGCCUGCGCGGAAGAUGUAACGGGGCUAAACCAUGCACCGAAGCUGCGGCAGCGACGCUGAUGCGUUGUUGGGUAGGGGAGCGUUCUGUAAGCCUGCGAAGGUGGCCUGUGAGGGUUGCUGGAGGUAUCAGAAGUGCGAAUGCUGACAUAAGUAACGAUAAAGCGGGUGAAAAGCCCGCUCGCCGGAAGACCAAGGGUUCCUGUCCAACGUUAAUCGGGGCAGGGUGAGUCGACCCCUAAGGCGAGGCCGAAAGGCGUAGUCGAUGGGAAACGGGUUAAUAUUCCCGUACUUGGUGUUACUGCGAAGGGGGGACGGAGAAGGCUAUGUUGGCCGGGCGACGGUUGUCCCGGUUUAAGCGUGUAGGUGUGUGUUCCAGGUAAAUCCGGUUCACUUUAACACUGAGGCGUGAUGACGAGGCACUACGGUGCUGAAGCAACAAAUGCCCUGCUUCCAGGAAAAGCCUCUAAGCAUCAGGUAACAUCAAAUCGUACCCCAAACCGACACAGGUGGUCAGGUAGAGAAUACCAAGGCGCUUGAGAGAACUCGGGUGAAGGAACUAGGCAAAAUGGUGCCGUAACUUCGGGAGAAGGCACGCUGACACGUAGGUGAAGUGAUUUACUCAUGGAGCUGAAGUCAGUCGAAGAUACCAGCUGGCUGCAACUGUUUAUUAAAAACACAGCACUGUGCAAACACGAAAGUGGACGUAUACGGUGUGACGCCUGCCCGGUGCCGGAAGGUUAAUUGAUGGGGUCAGCGCAAGCGAAGCUCCUGAUCGAAGCCCCGGUAAACGGCGGCCGUAACUAUAACGGUCCUAAGGUAGCGAAAUUCCUUGUCGGGUAAGUUCCGACCUGCACGAAUGGCGUAAUGAUGGCCAGGCUGUCUCCACCCGAGACUCAGUGAAAUUGAACUCGCUGUGAAGAUGCAGUGUACCCGCGGCAAGACGGAAAGACCCCGUGAACCUUUACUAUAGCUUGACACUGAACAUUGAGCCUUGAUGUGUAGGAUAGGUGGGAGGCUUUGAAGUGUGGACGCCAGUCUGCAUGGAGCCGGCCUUGAAAUACCACCCUUUAAUGUUUGAUGUUCUAACGUGGACCCGUGAUCCGGGUUGCGGACAGUGUCUGGUGGGUAGUUUGACUGGGGCGGUCUCCUCCUAAAGAGUAACGGAGGAGCACGAAGGUUGGCUAAUCCUGGUCGGACAUCAGGAGGUUAGUGCAAUGGCAUAAGCCAGCUUGACUGCGAGCGUGACGGCGCGAGCAGGUGCGAAAGCAGGUCAUAGUGAUCCGGUGGUUCUGAAUGGAAGGGCCAUCGCUCAACGGAUAAAAGGUACUCCGGGGAUAACAGGCUGAUACCGCCCAAGAGUUCAUAUCGACGGCGGUGUUUGGCACCUCGAUGUCGGCUCAUCACAUCCUGGGGCUGAAGUAGGUCCCAAGGGUAUGGCUGUUCGCCAUUUAAAGUGGUACGCGAGCUGGGUUUAGAACGUCGUGAGACAGUUCGGUCCCUAUCUGCCGUGGGCGCUGGAGAACUGAGGGGGGCUGCUCCUAGUACGAGAGGACCGGAGUGGACGCAUCACUGGUGUUCGGGUUGUCAUGCCAAUGGCACUGCCCGGUAGCUAAAUGCGGAAGAGAUAAGUGCUGAAAGCAUCUAAGCACGAAACUUGCCCCGAGAUGAGUUCUCCCUGAGACUUAGAGUCUCCUGAAGGAACGUUGAAGACGACGACGUUGAUAGGCCGGGUGUGUAAGCGCAGCGAUGCGUUGAGCUAACCGGUACUAAUGAACCGUGAGGCUUAACCUUACA